rnacentral:rRNA from 1 species
GAUGAACGCUAGCUACAGGCUUAACACAUGCAAGUCGCGGGGCAGCAUGGGGGUUGCUUGCAAUCCCCGAUGGCGACCGGCGCACGGGUGAGUAACGCGUAUCCAACCUGCCCUUCACCACGGGAUAACCCGGCGAAAGUCGGACUAAUACCGUAUGUUGUCCAUUGACGGCAUCCGAUUUGGACGAAAGGUUUGGCGGUGAAGGAUGGGGAUGCGUCCGAUUAGCUGGACGGCGGGGUGACGGCCCACCGUGGCGACGCUCGGUAGGGGUGCUGAGAGGAAGGUCCCCCACACUGGAACUGAGACACGGUCCAGACUCCUACGGGAGGCAGCAGUGAGGAAUAUUGGUCAAUGGGCGUAAGCCUGAACCAGCCAAGUAGCGUGCAGGAUGACGGCCCUAUGGGUUGUAAACUGCUUUUAUGCGGGGAUAAAGUGGCCCACGUGUGGGUUUUUGCAGGUACCGCAUGAAUAAGGACCGGCUAAUUCCGUG